rnacentral:ncRNA from 1 species
AAAAAUAGCAAAGCAGUCGAAAGGCUGUGACGCAAAGCUACAGGGCCUGAAACCGGGUAACCGGCUAUGGUAGCCAGCUGCCA